rnacentral:rRNA from 1 species
AGCAGGUCUUGUAGCAAUACAGGAUGCUGGCGACCGGCAAACGGGUGCGGAACACGUACACAACCUUCCUUUAAGUGGGGGAUAGCCCAGGGAAACUUGGAUUAAUACCCCGUAAUAUAUAGAUGUGGCAUCACAUUUAUAUUAAAGCUCAGGCGCUUAGAGAUGGGUGUGCGGCUGAUUAGGUAGUUGGCAGGGUAACGGCCUACCAAGCCUACGAUCAGUAACUGGUGUGAGAGCACGACCAGUCACACGGGCACUGAGACACGGGCCCGACUCCUACGGGAGGCAGCAGUAAGGAAUAUUGGGCAAUGGACGCAAGUCUGACCCAGCCAUGCCGCGUGGAGGAUGAAGGUCCUCUGGAUUGUAAACUUCUUUUAUCUGGGAAGAAAUCUAUGGUUUCUACUAUAGUUGACGGUACCAGAUGAAUAAGCACCGGCUAACUCCGUGCCAGCAGCCGCGGUAAUACGGAGGGUGCAAGCGUUAUCCGGAUUCACUGGGUUUAAAGGGUGCGUAGGUGGGCAGGUAAGUCAGUGGUGAAAUCUCCGAGCUUAACUCGGGAACUGCCAUUGAUACUAUCAGUCUUGAAUACUGUGGAGGUUAGCGGAAUAUGUCAUGUAGCGGUGAAAUGCUUAGAUAUGACAUAGAACACCAAUUGCGAAGGCAGCUGGCUACACAAUUAUUGACACUGAGGCUCGAAAGCGUGGGGAUCAAA